GACGAACGCUGGCGGCGUGCUUAACACAUGCAAGUCGAACGGAAAGGCCCUGCUUUUGUGGGGUGCUCGAGUGGCGAACGGGUGAGUAACACGUGAGUAACCUGCCCUUGACUUUGGGAUAACUUCAGGAAACUGGGGCUAAUACCGGAUAGGAGCUCCUGCUGCAUGGUGGGGGUUGGAAAGUUUCGGCGGUUGGGGAUGGACUCGCGGCUUAUCAGCUUGUUGGUGGGGUAGUGGCUUACCAAGGCAUUGACGGGUAGCCGGCCUGAGAGGGUGACCAGGCACAAUAGGACUAAGGUACGGACCAGACUGGUACGGGAGGCAGCGGUGGGAAAUAUUGCACAAUGGGCGGAAGCCUGAUGCAGAAACGCCGCGUGCGGGAUGACGGCCUUCGGGUUGUAAACCGCUUUAACCUGUGACGAAGCGUGAGUGACGGUAAUGGGUGAAGAAGCACCGGCUAACUACGUG
rnacentral:rRNA from 1 species